rnacentral:rRNA from 1 species
UACGUAGGGUGCAAGCGUUGUCCGGAAUUAUUGGGCGUAAAGAGCUCGUAGGCGGUUUGUCGCGUCUGCUGUGAAAACUCGGGGCUUAACCCCGGCCUGCAGUGGGUACGGGCAGACUAGAGUGCGGUAGGGGAGAUUGGAAUUCCUGGUGUAGCGGUGGAAUGCGCAGAUAUCAGGAGGAACACCGAUGGCGAAGGCAGGUCUCUGGCCACUACUGACGCUGAGAAGCGAAAGCAUGGGGAGCGAACAGG